CUCAUAACCACUUUCACCAAGCCUUGCGGCGUUGAUCAGAAAGGAAGGAAAAGACUUCGAGCGUCUGGUUCAUCAAACCCAGGGUGUCGUGGGGUGCGGUAGACAGCGACAGGCAAAGAAACGAAAGACGGUUGGUUUCUUGGUUCUCCUCCGAUUCUGAGGGUAUCGUGUGUUCUUGACGGUGCACGAUUCCUCCGUUAGAAGCGAGUCUCUAGUUGGUGAUCACACGCGGUUCGUGAAACGAUCUUGGUUUUGGACAAUCCUCUCAAGCAAUCAUAGGUAAGAAGAAGAUUUGAAUGUUGGCGGCUCUUGGGUAUUGGCAGCGGUUACCCGGCAUCUUUUAAUGUUUUGGCAUUUCUCGUGUUUUGAACAAUUAACACACUUUAGUCGUUUUAGUACUUUGAAGUUUGUUCGUGCUUUAUUAAAUUUUUCCGCUGCGUAUUGAUGACAUUUUGGUCUA